GGGUCGUAGCUCAACGGCAGAGCAUCGGGCUUGGUAGCGCGUUCGCUCUCCGUCUCGCGGGCACGGGGGUCGCCUUUUCUUCCUUUCUGGACCGGAAGGUUCCGGGGUUCGAGUCCCCGGCGGCCCA
rnacentral:tRNA from 1 species